rnacentral:lncRNA from 1 species
UCAGCGUCUCUCUCUCUCUAUUCUCUCUCAACAAACCACCCCCCCUUCCCUUUUCUUCUCGUUCUCCGACCGUCGGUCACCAAUUCUGGCAAAUAAAUACUCUAAAAAUAUCUACUCGUCGCAAGGAGUUUGAUUCAAGCCUUGGUUUGUGCGAUUUGAGCCCUGAUUGAGAGAAAUCUCAAUCGAAACAGUCGGCACCAUUGUAGCAACUUCUCUGGCAAUUUCCCACCGUUUUCGGUGACUUGAGGUGUCAAGGUAGGUGUCAAUUGACUCCUCUCUUUUCUCUCUUUCAUUUGAUGGCCUUCUCGCCGACUGAUAUAGCCGGAAUCAGAAAACCCAAAAUGGGUACCACCAAACCUUUUCGGCCAAUUUUCGGCCAAAUGGUUCACACCCACCUUGAUUUGAACACAUAUUAGUGAUCCUCUCAUUGAAACGAAUAAAAUGAUGUAUUGUUUGUCAAUUUUGGUGAAUGUUCGAUUUUCCAACCAUCGUGCACGGCGGCCGGCGGCGGCAUUUCGGUGACCGGCCGGCGACGCUCUGGUGAGGCUCCAAAGGCAGAAUCUUCUCCUCUUCACGUUGAUCUCGAAUAUGUGAUCCAAUUUCACAUUGGUAAACCUUAUAACCCAAUUCUGCAUUUUUCCUUUAGAAAUCAAUUUGAAUUUAUUUCCUUAUUUUAUAAUUAUUUGAUGAGAUUAAAUAAAAAUUCUAAUUAGUUAGAACAUUAUUUAACUUGGUUAAUCCAAAUCAAAAAUUUAAGAACCUAGAUUGCUAUGGGGUAAGAAUAUUACUUUUGGUACCUUAAGUGCUAAAAAGAGAUUAAUGGGAAGUUAAGUAUUUUAAUAAAAAUGGUUAAUUAAGUAUAUACACAUUAUCAUGGAAUGAACUAAAUCCGUGAAAAUACCUUUGCUUUGAGUUGGAAUUAAAUACUGGUGUGGAUAAAUUAAUUCAAGUUGAUUUAAUGAGGACAUAACAGAGCAUGGGCUUUGAUUAAGAAUUUGCCCGAUGGAUGGGCUGUGUGUUGAUGUGUGCGAUGUAUAAAAUUUGGAUAGUCUAGUUUAUAGAGAAAAUGAUGCCGAAUUUUCGGCAAAACACUUAAUAAAGAACUAAAUUAGUUGUAUCCUUAAUAGGUGGUAACGACUAAAACUUUUAGUAUUAUUAUUAUUAUUACGUACCAAAUAACUAGAAGUUUUAUUUAAAGGUUGUAAAUUAGAAUAAAUAAAUAAUUAAGGAAACACUAUAUAUAUAUAUAUAUAUGUACAAUUUAGUUUGAUAAGUUAGUUAAGUAACUAGUAACCAAAACUAAUAAUGAAUGUGAAAUACAUUUUUCGAAUUAGAAUUCUUAUUUAGAAAAAAAGUUGGAAGCGUAAUAAAGAUAGUCCUUUAAAGGACCAUAAAGAACAAUGAGUAUUGUUAGAUAAUUCGCAUCAUACACCUGCAUCUUUGCAUUCAUGCAUUCACGGCUAAAUGUUAUCAUGCAUUUGUUAAAUUGCUAUAUUGUGCUGCACUAUUUUUGCGAUUAAAAUUUGCUUGAUUACGUGUGUUGUGAUAUUGUUGUGUCUUGUUUGUGUGGAAUUGGGAUGAAAUGGGUCACCGUGGGUUUGUGAGGGCGGUCUACAAGACCGUUGGCUAUAUGAGAGAUUAGCGCCCCCGUGUGCACCUGAUGAUAUGAUAUGGAUAAUAUGGAUAAAGCAUAGGGUGGCCUUCGGAUGCUAUGGGAAAGAAAAGAGAGAAUGAAAAAACAAUGAGAGGGCUGGUCAAGUGAAGAUUAGACCGGUCGGCCAGGUAUGGGGGAUCGGCUCCCUGGUGCACACGUAUGAGAGGGCGAGCCAUGUGAGAGGAUGGCUUGUUGGGGUUUCGGUGAUGCCACUGACUAAUUUCCACGUGAGGUGAUUAUAUGAAGAUGAUAAUAAUUGUGAUUGCUGUUGUAUUGCCAUUUGUGUGACAAAUUGCAUGAUCAUAUAACUAAUUGGAGGACUAAAUUGAUUUAUUAUAGCAUAUGUGUGAUUGUGUGGGGUGAGAAAGUUAUCUAACCCUACUCAUUGAGUUUGACGCUAACCCCUGCCUCCUAUCUUUGUUUUUUUUUUUUUAGGAAAUAAGAAGAAAGAAGAGUCCUAUGGACCCGACUGAGUCGAAAUAUCGAAACUAGAAACUUGUUAAUAGUUGUGUUAGCCAUGUAAAUGUUAAGGACUUUAGAUUAUGGAGUUCCGCAAUUGUAUUUCUAAUGUGUUGUAAUUGGAUAAUAAGAGCACGUAUAUUAAUAUUAUGUAUUGUAUUUUUGAUAUAUUGGUGAAAUAAAUUAUUGGGCCUGAAGCCAC